rnacentral:tRNA from 2 species
GUAGGUUAGAGUUUUACAGGCCUU